UUCCAGACCCAAGAAGAGCAGUAGUAUUUGUGGUUACAGCAGAUCAAGUUCCCUUCCUAGAUAAAGACCAGGAGAGCAGUAACUUGAUGUCCCCCAGAAUAACACUUUCUUGGAAACACCAAAAAGACCUCCAGAAUUAAGAAAGCAGAUUUAAAAAAUGCCUGAAAUUUCACACAGUGUCCCCAAUGUCAGACUCAGAAGAAAUGAAAUUGAGGAUCAGACCAAAGGACAGUGAAGAGGCAAAAAUUGGAGCUAUGUUGUUGAAAAAGGAAGAAAUUCACUGAGGAUUCACCAGCAUUUUGCUAGCUACCUGGUUUGGUCUCUGUCAUCUAUACAUCUAGGACAUUUCUUUAACCAGAAUCAGAGAACGUUUGUGAUCAUGAUUUUUUUUUUUUUUAAUUUCCAUGUUAAAAAUGAUGUUCAGUUAGGAAGUUAGAAAGAAUGUUCAACUAAAAAUAUGGAUGGCAAAAGAAAUUAAGAUGUUCUCUUCUCUGAAUACAAGAAGAAAGGGGUCAGGGGCUAAAAAAGAACGUAUUAGGUUUUUCAGGGGAAAUUCCAUGUA